rnacentral:rRNA from 2 species
AUGCAUGUCUAAGAAUAUGUGUUCAACUGAAUCUGCGUACGGCUCAUUACAACAGCUAUAAUCUAUUCGAACUAUGUAUCCUAAACGGAUAUCUGCGAUAAUUUUGGAGCUAAUACGUGCCUCGAGUCGACGGCCUCACGGCGUCGCGCACUUAUUAGACCAAGACCAAUCGUGCUUGCACGUUUUGGUGACUCUGAAUAAUUCGCUGAUCGCACGGUCUUGUACCGGCGACGUAUCGUUCGAGUAUCUGCCUUAUCAACUUUCGAUGGAAGUCUAUGUGGCUACCAUGGUUGUUACGGGUAACGGAGAAUUAGGGUUCGACUCCGGAGAGGGAGCCUGAGAAACGGCUACCACA